UGUGUUUCUGUGUCCCCACUGUGUGACCUGGAGGCGGGAUGUUUGCUGACCUUGAGGCUGCUGCUGCAGAUGCAUCCAUCCUGCUGCAUGGAUCCCAACCUCUUGCUGCAUUACUGCAUGGCCACGCCUCUCUGCUGUCAUCA